rnacentral:lncRNA from 1 species
GUGAAUGGCCCUAUUCAUGCACGCGGUAUAACAAGCACUAAGCUACGGUGCUUCAGGCUCUGCUGAGUCAAAGAAAAGUGUGGCAGGAAGGGAUGUUUUGGGGGGUUGUUUUUUCCUUUUGCAGGGCCAGGCCUACAACUACAGGAUGAAGCUGCUCCUAAGCCCUGGUCUGGAAGCCCCCAUGUUCAUGCAGGAGCCAGAAUAAUGCAUGCUCAGUCCUGGUUUGCCAGCAGAGAACCUUGGCUGGGAGCUGCAGAGUUUCUUGGAGGCUAAACUUCAAAGGAAAAAGAUGUUAGAUGGAUGUUGUAAGAGACAGGACACGACAAAAACCAAACCCAAGUAUGAUGUUGCAUUGAAGAAAGAUCACAAAUUGAGUCACUGUGCGGACACAGAGCCGACAGAAGAUGCUGAAAGAUUUUCAGACAGAUAACAGAUAUUUCUCCAUUCAAAUUCCAUAGGCAAGCAUUUCCACCAUUAGUUUGCUCAAAGUACAUAAUGUGUAUCUCUGAAUGCUCUCUGUAUAUUCAAGGCCUUAAAUGAAAUAUCAACUUUCAAGUGAUUCUUUUUUUCUUUUUUCUUUUUUUUUUUUUCCCCAAAUAUUUAUUUCAGAAACAGCAAAUAGGAUUUUCCUUAAAAUGGAGAACAGCUCGUUCGUUUUCUCGUCUUCUCAGAGACCAAUGUUACUUAAGAAAAAUACAGACGUAAAGACAGGAGGUGGGGAAGUCUGAACCUUGGUUUAUAUUACCUUAUUGAGCCUGUUAGGGCAAAAUAUUUAAGCCUAUGUUUACCAGAGCUGCGUAUUUUCAAUGAUUAGGGAUUCAUUUAAUGAAUAGUCUCAGCUUCCAAAAAGGGAGAUAAAAUAAAUGCUUCAUUUGACAAUAGUGAUAUGCAAUGCUUUGUUUCCGAAGUGCUCGAGUACUCCUAACAUUUUUAUCUUUUUUAUUUUCUAAAUGACACCUGUGGUGUCAUCUAAACAAGAAAAAGUGGUGUUUGUAUUUUUUUUUUCAGUUUGUUCAAAUUUCUACAUUGAGUCAGAGUUAAAUAUUUUAACAAUUUAAAAUAUAAGUUUAAUCUUGCCAAAAUUUUAAAAGAAAAGCAUCCUUUAAUUUGAUCCUGCUAUUUAUUUAUUUUUUUUUGGGGGGGGGGGAGGUUAAGCACUUGGUGAAAUAAAAAUUCCACAAUCAUAUAACCCCUGAGCACUUAAAUAUAACAUGAUCUGUCAAUGGACCCCUGAGUGUAUUAAAGUGAGGCACAUUUUGAGUAUUCAGCUAGAAUAAACAAUUGAGGAAAAAUAUUUUUAAAGAACUCCUCACUGAUGAAUUUCC